AUCCACCCACCUUGGCCUCCCAAAGUGCUGGGAUUACAGGUGUGAGCCACCAUGCCCAGCCUAAGUUAAAUCUUUUUCAGAAAUCUUUCCUUGACCCUCUGACUUCCUCAGGUAAAGAUGUUCACUUCCUUCUUUGUGACUCCCAAAUGUUUCUUGCAUACAUCUCGAGUAGAGCAAGUUAUACUAUAUCUGAGUUACUUGAACUUGUUCACAAAUUAGUAGAGAUACAGAUACGUAAGUUUUUGAAGAAUUGCCAUAGCCAUCUCUAUGUUUCUUGUGGCUGACACAGAAUUGGCUUAGGUCCCUGUUAAACAAUAUAUUUUCUUUUAGAAUUCACAUCAUUUUUGAGUAUCAAUUCUGUCAUUCAUCGUGUGUGCUAGGAGAUACAAAAGCAUCUGGGUUCUGCCUAGGCUAGUCCUAGGUACCAAAUAUGACCUGAAACUUAUUUUCUAUUCAUUUUUUUAUUCAGUGAGCAUUUAUGAAUCUCUUAUAUACAAGUCGUUGUAGUCCCAGCAUUAGUUGACAAAGCAAGAUGAUGUUUCUCACAGUAUGAUUUGCAGAUCCUGGUCCUCCUGAACCCCCAUAAACUGAUGUGUGAAGAGUGGAGAAUGAAGGGGUGUUCUGGAACCAAUUCUCCACGGAUACUGAGGGAUGAUUGUGUAUACCUUGGCACUGUUCUGGUCUCUGGGAGUAAGGCAAUGAACAACAAAAAAAAGAAGACCUUGCCUUCAUGGAGCUCACGUUUUAGUAGGCGAGAUAGACAAUAAGCAAAUAAUUUAAGCUCUUGUGUCAGGUGACAGAUGUGCUGAAUGCUAUGUGAAUAAAUGGAUUGGGAGUCAGGGGCAUGUGAAAUUGUAAUUGGGAAGGUGAAGAGGAUCUCUGCUGUUGUCCAGGUCUUUUCUGUAGAGUCUUGUCCCUGGGAAGUGGAACCAGCAUGGUAGACAGACCGUGGUUGCAGUUGCUCCAGCGUUUUAACAGAGAUGAGACCUGGACAUGAAUAAUCGUAACACAAGAUGGGAUGUGAUUCAGUAAUAUGAGACAGAGUGCUGUGGGAGUUUAGGGAUUGUUUUUGAAAGUGAGGUUGCAGUUUGUAAAGAUUUUUUUCUUUUUUUUUUAAAGUAAAAUUUGCAAAAGUAGUACUGCCUUUUGGAAACAAGUAAAAUGCUACUAACUGUGUGAAAUAAAACAUGAAAGUCUCCUUCCUUCCCCUACUCCCAUGUCCCAGUGUAACCCAUGGUUCACAAUAGGAUUCUUCCAGAACGUUUUCUAUGAGCACACACAUUUAUAGAGUAUUUUUAAAAUAAAUAAGAUAGUAGCAUUCUGCAUUUUUUAAAAUUUUAAUUUGUUCUUUAAAAGAUUAUACAUUCACAUGGUUCUGAAUUGAAAAGAUACAAACAUAAAGUAUUCCUCCUACCUUUUCCUCCCAACUGCUCAGCUCCCCUCCCCAGAGGUAGUGCUGCCAGCUUCUUAAGUUCCCUUGCAGAGAUGGUUUCCUCCUAUACAUACUCCUACCUACCCUUCUCCUCUAAUUUUUUUACACAGAUAGCUUCAUACUUUACACUCUGUACUUCGGUUUUUUCAUGCGUGUUGUGCAUUUAAAAGAUGUAGUUCAGGUGCUACCUCAGGCAUGUCCUGGCUUCCUUCCUGACUGAAGUAUGAAGCCUCUUAUGACAAUGCAGACCUCUGCAUGAUGUCCUGGGUUUGUGACCUGAGGUCCCAAGGACUAGAGGGCAAGACAGCAGCACCUGGUCCUCAUCUCCUGGCUUAAUUGAGCUUUGGGGGCUUGCGUAUUGUCUUGAGUGUUUGGUUGAACCUGUGUAUCCUGUUGGAUCAAUCUUGAUACUGCUUCCUUUUCAGUUCUCUCGAUGAAGGCCGUCUUACUGAAUCUUGUCUGCUGGGGAAGUUCCUCGUUGCUGAGAGUAGCAGUUAAAAAAGCUGUUAGCCACGUGGCUGGGCUCCUAUUUCUGCACAGGCAGGCUGAGUUACAGCUUGGUGGUGUGGAUCCAGGUAGGAAUUGGUCAACAUUCUGAAUCCUGAGCUGCCAUCUGCCUUGUAGCCUGCUGGGAUGCUCAGUUUAGACAACAUAUAAAGUUUCCUGGAUACGGGACAAACCCAGGCCUAUGGAAAGAGCAGGAAGGUUAAAGUGUGUAGUACUUUGGGCAAUGACGAAGGCGUAACCAGGGAGCUGACAUGUUUGCUCCAAAGCCAAGAAUUCCAGGACAAUUUGUUAUCCAGCUGAAGCCAGUGUAGUUGCUACAAAAAAGCCUGGGGACAAAAACAUGCUUUUUACUUGUUUCCCUGUCUUCUUGCACACCUACUCUGUUUUCUAAUGCUGUAGUAAAGGUUGCUGACAUUGGAAA